GACGAACGCUGGCGGCGUGCUUAACACAUGCAAGUCGAACGGAAAGGCCCUGCUUUUGUGGGGUGCUCGAGUGGCGUACGGGUGAGUAACACGUGAGUAACCUGCCCUUGACUUUGGGAUAACCUCAGGAAACUGGGGCUAAUACCGGAUAGGAGCUCCUGCUGCAUGGUGGGGGUUGGAAAGUUUCGGCGGUUGGGGAUGGACUCGCGGCUUAUCAGCUUGUUGGUGGGGUAGUGGCUUACCAAGGCUUUGACGGGUAGCCGGCCUGAGAGGGUGACCGGCCACAUUGGGACUGAGACACGGCCCAGACUCCUACGGGAGGCAGCAGUGGGGAAUAUUGCACAAUGGGCGGAAGCCUGAUGCAGCAACGCCGCGUGCGGGAUGACGGCCUUCGGGUUGUAAACCGCUUUCGCCUGUGACGAAGCGUGAGUGACGGUAAUGGGUAAAGAAGCACCGGCUAACUACGUGCCAGCAGCCGCGGUGAUACGUAGGGUGCGAGCGUUGUCCGGAUUUAUUGGGCGUAAAGGGCUCGUAGGUGGUUGAUCGCGUCGGAAGUGUAAUCUUGGGGCUUAACCCUGAGCGUGCUUUCGAUACGGGUUGACUUGAGGAAGGUAGGGGAGAAUGGAAUUCCUGGUGGAGCGGUGGAAUGCGCAGAUAUCAGGAGGAACACCAGUGGCGAAGGCGGUUCUCUGGGCCUUUCCUGACGCUGAGGAGCGAAAGCGUGGGGAGCGAACAGGCUUAGAUACCCUGGUAGUCCACGCUGUAAACGGUGGGUACUAGGUGUGGGGUCCAUUCCACGGGUUCCGUGCCGUAGCUAACGCUUUAAGUACCCCGCCUGGGGAGUACGGCCGCAAGGCUAAAACUCAAAGGAAUUGACGGGGCCCCGCACAAGCGGCGGAGCAUGCGGAUUAAUUCGAUGCAACGCGUAGAACCUUACCUGGGUUUGACAUGGAUCGGGAGUGCUCAGAGAUGGGUGUGCCUCUUUUGGGGUCGGUUCACAGGUGGUGCAUGGCUGUCGUCAGCUCGUGUCGUGAGAUGUUGGGUUAAGUCCCGCAACGAGCGCAACCCUUGUUCACUGUUGCCAGCACGUUAUGGUGGGGACUCAGUGGAGACCGCCGGGGUCAACUCGGAGGAAGGUGGGGAUGACGUCAAGUCAUCAUGCCCCUUAUGUCCAGGGCUUCACGCAUGCUACAAUGGCUGGUACAGAGAGUGGCGAGCCUGUGAGGGUGAGCGAAUCUCGGAAAGCCGGUCUCAGUUCGGAUUGGGGUCUGCAACUCGACCUCAUGAAGUCGGAGUCGCUAGUAAUCGCAGAUCAGCAACGCUGCGGUGAAUACGUUCCCGGGGCU
rnacentral:rRNA from 1 species